GAGAGAGAGAGAGAGAGAGAGAGAGAAGCAACGAAGGCGAUUUGAACCGGAGACGACGAACAACGUUGAACACAACAGACCCAAGGGCUAUUGUUAAAGACUGACCAUUGGUGGUUGCUGUUGUUAUUGUGUGGCCAGAAAUUGAACAAGAAGAUAAUGUCAGCAUCAAUCCAACCCCCUUGUUUCGACCACCCCCACCAAGAAACUACAUGGGUUUGCGGAUAUGGAGAUGAAAAUGGCAAGGCAAUAUAGAGACUGGAAUGUACAAAUUUUUGUAGUUUAAUAGGUACUUGGUGGUUUCAUAGCAAUGGCCAAACAUUCUGUAGACUGGAAUGAACAAUUUCUAUAGACUUAAGUAAUUGUGUUUCUUGAUGGGUUUCUUGUGUUCUGAGACAUUGAAUCUGUUGAUACAUCCAAGUUAUUGCCUUUUGGUUUCUGCAGACUUAAGUAAUUGUGUUUCUUGAUGGGUUUCUCAGGGGAAUGCCCCGUUGGUCCUUAUAAUUGGUUGUUACUUUUAAUGAAA